rnacentral:rRNA from 1 species
UACGAAGGGGGCUAGCGUUGUUCGGAAUUACUGGGCGUAAAGCGCACGCAGGCGGAUUGAUAAGUCGGGGGUGAAAUCCCGGGGGCUCAACCUCGGAAUUGCCUUUGAUACUGUUAGUCUUGAGUCCGGGAGAGGUGAGUGGAAUUCCUAGUGUAGAGGUGAAAUUCGUAGAUAUUAGGAAGAACACCAGUGGCGAAGGCGGCUCA